rnacentral:rRNA from 1 species
AUGGCUGGAGUGGUGCGCCUAUGGAACGAUUGGGAGGUCCAAAUCCUAGUGCUUGUUAGCUUCAUGCUGCAAGUGUUCCUGCUCAUGUUUGCCAGGAUGCGACGGCGGAACAUCUCCAUCGUCCCAAGGACCCUCCUCUGGCUGGCAUACCUGCUGGCGGACUCCAUAGCGAUAUACAUCCUUGGCCACAUGUCCUUCUAUGGCAAGUCCCACGGGCACCAACAGCUCAUGGCGUUCUGGGCACCCUUCUUGCUGGUGCAUCUCGGUGGCCAGGACAACAUCACCGCCUACUCCAUAGAAGACAGCCAGCUCUGGCCACGCCACCUGCUCUCUUUUGUCAUGCAGACGGUGGGAGUGGCUUAUGUCCUCUACAAGUAUGUUGCUGGCAGCUGGACCUUGGUCACAGGCGCAGCGCUGAUAUUUGUCAGCGGUGUUCUCAAGUAUGGGGAGAGAGUAUGGGCACUUAAGUCUUCCAGCCUGGAUAACAUGAGGAAGUUCCUUGACAGCAGGAAGUUGAGUGAGGCUAAACAAGGACAGAGACCACGGUGGGGCCAAGGGGAUAAUUUUGAUAUUGAAAGGGUUCUGCAGGGGGCUCAUGACCUUCUACCCAUUUGCAUGGCUCAGUUUGUGGACUAUAAGUUCUGGCCAUCUGCAUUCCAGAGUGAAGCCAUAGAGCUAUUCUAUAAGAAGGGCGAAAUGUUCGAGUUGGUUGAGAUGCAACUCUCCUUGAUGUAUGAUUUCCUAUAUACCAAGGCAGUGGUGGUCUUCACAUGGUAUGGAUGCUUCAUCCGUGCCGUUUCAUCAAUUGCCAGCAUCACCACUUUCUUCUUAUUUCAAUCAAGCAUUGGAAAAAAUGACUUCAACAGAGUUGAUGCCAUUGUCACAUACAUCUUAAUAGCUGGGGCUAUCCUCCUAGAGAUGACAGCUGUGUGGAAGGCAAUGGGAUCAACAUGGACAUGCGCAUUGUUGCAUGCUAGAAGAUGGCAUCGGCUUCACAGGAUAGUCGUAUCUGUUCGGCGGCGUUUCAAGGCUGCAGAAAGAAAUAGAAGAUGGUCAGGUUCCAUUGGACACCUGGAGUUACAUUACUCAUCUCUCGGGAGUGGAGGCUGCGUGCAGAGCUUGAGACGCAAAGAUUUAUGGAAGGUGUACCACUCCCUACCUAUCAUUUCAAAUGGUACUAAGAAGUUGGUGUUGGAAGUGGUAGAAAGAAUGGUGGAGAAAUGUGAAGGAAAAGAGGAUAUCAUGAGGAGUUACAAUGGUCAGUGUGCCCUGAAUGCAUGGAGCGGAUUCUUCAAGGAUCCCACCUCACACGCGGGCAUUGAUUUUGAUGAAAAAAUCAUUUCCUGGUACUUUGCCACUGAAAUAUUCUUCUCAUGGUCAUCUCGUGAGGAAGAGCAUAGUUAUGUUGUGGAGGCAAUCAAGAAAUUGUCUAACUACAUGACAUUUCUCCUUGUUGAACGUCCCUACAUGCUGCCUAGCCCUGUUUGCCACGGAUUGUAUGCCAAUACUGAAGCAGCAUAUGUGGGGCUUGAUUUUUCUGACAGGGAACGGAUUAGCAGAAAGUGGGGGCUGGACAGAACAAAAAAAAAUGAUGGAUCUGGACAAAAGAACGGACAUGGGCGAGCUACUCAAAGCAAAGUGGAAGUUGGUCAUAAUAAGUGA